CAAUCUCAGUUCGGAUUGUAGGCUGCAACUCGCCUACAUGAAGUUGGAAUCGCUAGUAAUCGCGAAUCAGAAUGUCGCGGUGAAUACGUUCCCGGGUCUUGUACACACCGCCCGUCACACCACGAGAGUUUACAACACCCGAAGUCAGUGGCCUAACCGCAAGGAGGGAGCUGCCUAAGGUGGGGUAGAUGAUUGGGGUGAAGUCGUAACAAGGUAUC
rnacentral:rRNA from 1 species